CCUACGGGGGGCUGCAGUAAGGAAUAUUGGUCAAUGGGCGCAAGCCUGAACCAGCCAUGCCGCGUGCAGGAAGACGGCCCUAUGGGUUGUAAACUGCUUUUGUCAGGGAAUAAACCCCCGCUCGUGAGCGGGGCUGAAGGUACCUGAAGAAUAAGCAUCGGCUAACUCCGUGCCAGCAGCCGCGGUAAUACGGAGGAUGCAAGCGUUAUCCGGAUUCAUUGGGUUUAAAGGGUGCGCAGGCGGAUUGGUAAGUCAGGGGUGAAAUCCCACAGCUCAACUGUGGAACUGCCUUUGAUACUGUCAGUCUAGAGUAUAGUUGAAGUUGGCGGAAUGUGUCAUGUAGCGGUGAAAUGCUUAGAUAUGACACAGAACACCGAUCGCGAAGGCAGCUAGCUAAGCUAUAACUGACGCUCAUGCACGAAAGCGUGGGGAUCAAACAGGAUUAGAUACCCUAGUAGUC
rnacentral:rRNA from 1 species